GGACUAGAAGACGAUUAUCUUCUCUCCAACCCCUAUCACCUGCUUGGAAUUUUUUCCUCCCAAGUAUUUCAAGAAUCUCCAAGAGACAGAAUAUUGAAAAAGAAAACUUCUCCAAUAUAUGAGAUGGAGAAGCACUGCAAU